GACGAACGCUGGCGGCGUGCCUAAUACAUGCAAGUCGAACGCAGUGGGGACGGGUGAGUAACACGUGGGUAACCUGCCAUCAGUGGGGAUAACACUUGGAAACAGGUGCUAAACCGAUACUGAUGGAUGGACGCGCGGUGCAUUAGCUAGUUGGUGGGGUAACGGCUCACCAAGGCCACGAUGCAUAGCCGGCCUGAGAGGGUGAUCGGCCACACUGGGACUGAGACACGGCCCAGACUCCUACGGGAGGCAGCAGUAGGGAAUCUUGGACAAUGGGCGAAAGUCUGACCGAGCAACGCCGCGUGAGUGAAGAAGGUUUUCGGAUUGUAAAGCUCUGUUAGUAGGGAAGCGGUAUCUAACGAAGAAGCACCGGCUAACUACGUGCCAGCAGCCGCGGUAAUAC
rnacentral:rRNA from 1 species